rnacentral:rRNA from 1 species
AGCAUACAAGGCAUACGGCUCAGUAACGCGUAGUCAACCUAACCUAUGGACGGGAAUAACCUCGGGAAACUGAGAAUAAUGCCCGAUAGAACAUUAUGCCUGGAAUGGUUUAUGUUCCAAAUGAUUUAUCGCCGUAGGAUGGGACUGCGGCCUAUCAGUUUGUUGGUGAGGUAAUGGCCCACCAAGACUAUUACAGGUACGGGCUCUGAGAGGAGUAGCCCGGAGAUGGGUACUGAGACACGGACCCAGGCCCUAUGGGGCGCAGCAGGCGAGAAAACUUUGCAAUGUGCGAAAGCACGACAAGGUUAAUCCGAGUGGUUUCUGCUAAAGAAACCUUUUGUCAGUCCUAGAAACACUGAUGAAUAAGGGGUGGGCAAGUUCUGGUGUUAGCCGCCGCGGUAAAACCAGCACCUCAAGUGGUCAGGAUGAUUAUUGGGCCUAAAGCAUCCGUAGCCGGCUCUGUAAGUUUUCGGUUAAAUCUGUACGCUCAACGUACAGGCUGCCGGGAAUACUGCAGAGCUAGGGAGUGGGAGAGGUAGACGGUACUCGGUAGGAAGGGGUAAAAUCCUUUGAUCUAUUGAUGACCACCUGUGGCGAAGGCGGUCUACCAGAACACGUCCGACGGUGAGGGAUGAAAGCUGGGGGAGCAAACCGGAUUAGAUACCCGGGUAGUCCCAGCUGUAAACUAUGCAAACUCAGUGAUGCAUUGGCUUGUGGCCAAUGCAGUGCUGCAGGGAAGCCGUUAAGUUUGCCGCCUGGGAAGUACGUACGCAAGUAUGAAACUUAAAGGAAUUGGCGGGGGAGCACCACAAGGGGUGAAGCCUGCGGUUCAAUUGGAGUCAACGCCGGG